GUGUAUAUAUGUGUAUACACACAUAUGUGUAUAUGUGUAUACACACAUAUGUGUGUAUAUGUGUAUAUAUGUG
rnacentral:pre_miRNA from 16 species